GGAUAUUGGUUCAGUCUGCUGAAUUGACUUUCAAUAUAAUACAUGUACCAACUCUCGAAAAUCCGGGUUUUGAUUAAGUUUUCUGUAUAUAAACUUUUAACAAGUAAAUGCUUGUUACUACAUGCAAGAUAUGUCUUUAAAACUAAAAGCCUUAGGAUGAACGCAAAGUGAUCGUUGGUAAAUGGAGAGAUAUCAAAGCGCAAAGUUUCCAACCUUCUGUCCCAGAUUUUUCAGCUUCUCUACAUCACGAAUCAUUAGAGUUUUUUCUGAAUACAUGUAAUCACAAGUAGCAAAUCUUGAUUGGCAUUUACAACUCUUAUAUUACACAAUGGUGACAAAAAUUGAUUUAUUUGAUUUCGCGGUAAAAGGUAAUAUUUAAAACCUUAAUGUCAUAUCUUUGGACUUGUUAAUAAUUUUUCUUUUUAAAAUAUUUUUAACAAGUACAUAAUUUGUUAUCUCUCGGUCAUCUCUCAUUCUUUUAAAAACUCUAUCCACAUAUGCUAUCUCGAAAUAGUAAGUAAGUAAAUAUUUUAUUAAAGUGACAUAUGUGUAUGUCAAAAGUAUAGUGCAAUACAAUGUUGUAUAUCAUUAAAUUAGACCGGGCCCCUUUCACCUUUAUGUCAAUUUGAAAUCAUUGAAUAUACAAAGUAGAUACAGUAUUUGAGCGCAUUAAUGUACCCUGGUUUGUACAGAUAAUUUUGUAUUACUGAGUAAAUUAAAUUGAGGUAUU
rnacentral:sRNA from 1 species